CGGUGUGAAUUGCAGAAUCCCGUGAACCAUCGAGUCUUUGAACGCAAGUUGCGCCCGAAGCCACUAGGCUGAGGGCACGUCUGCCUGGGUGUCA
rnacentral:rRNA from 1 species